GCUCAGGCACGAGCCAGCUGGUUCCCCAGCGUGAUGCCGAGUCAGGGUUGGGAGGCUCCUAAGGAACGCAUGGCCCCGACGCUUGCAUUCAGGAAGCAGCGGCAAGGCAUCAUCAGGAACUCACUAGAAAAGCAGACUCUCAGGACACCCCCGGCCCCAGCAAAUCAGGACCUGUGAUGUAAUGGGAACCCCAGAUGGGUGGGAGAGGCACUGGUUUGGAGCGCUCUCCUGCGAUCUCUCCGCGGUGGUGGGGACGCUCCCCCAGUUACAAGCGCAUUGAUUUCACGGACAUUGGAACACUCUCCACGUGCCAAGUCUUGGUCUGGGCUGUGAAGGGCUGCCUCGUCGUUCUGAAGUCAGACCGCCUGACUGUUUCCAAGUCCGUGAAACGAAGGUGGUGAUAAAAUAGUCCCUAUCCCGUAACCUUUAUUUCGAGGCACAAGUAAGAUAUCCACCCAGCAGACUCGGCUCGCUGCUGGGCACUCCAUGAAUGUUCAGUCUUUGCUACUGUGUUUAUCUAUCUACCCAUCUGUUUUUCUGUCUGUGUAUUGAAGGCAGGCAAUCGGUGUAGGCGGGAUGAACAGACCUACCUCCUGGGCUUUUGGAGAGGAUUACAUGAAAAAACCCUGGUAAAGGGCUUCACAGUUAACAGUGUUCUCAGCUGCUUACUUGGACUUACACUCGAGGUGUGCCUCCUCUCCUGGCCAGAAGGGCUGGCUUCGAAGGACCUGAGCUCACUGGUGGUAAUUGUUCAACCAGGAGCCAAGCGGUCAGUCCCUCCAUUCCGCCAGUCGGGGACAAUCGAGGCUGGUCUCCAUCUGCCUGUGAUCUGUUGGCACAGAGGUCAUGGAGCAAUUUCCCCCACACAACAACUCUUGUGGGGAGCCCUAAAGGUUCUGUACAAUGAAGGGUUGGUGGUGGUGUCUGAGGGAACUUGUUAGUUGAGAACUUUUAGCUGCAAGUAACUGAAAUCCCAAGUAAAGGACAUUUUACUUUCU